UCCCCAGUCUUAGAGCAGCAAAUAGGCAGUGAUUGUCCAGCUCUGCAGGGAUCAGACAGGACAGACGAGGGCUGCUUCACUGAGAACCGUUCCAAGCAAAAGGCACGGUCACAAGCAAUUGGUGCAAGUCAUUAGUGCCACUUGGUUAGUUCCCCUAUAUAACUGGAACUAAAAGAACAGGAAGGGAGAGAACACGGGGGGAACACACUGGAACCGGACCGUGGCCGUUUUGGACGCGGAAGGAAGAGAAGCAAUACUGGAGCCUAAGCAAUAAACACAUUGAAGAGAAGCAGAAGGAAACAAAAUGGCACAACUAAAUGCAGUCAAGACUCUACAUCACAGGAAAGAAAGGGCUUGCCUUCUCUUUCCCUCCGUUCCAGAAGAAGGAUUGCAGAAUAGAUGGACUGCUGUAUCACCUGCAGACACCCCAAUAAGCAAAGCUCUCACAUAGAGUUAAGUAUCAGUAGCCGGGUCGGAAGACUAAUGCUCUUGUAGGAGUUAUACUGACACAUAAAACCGCCACCAACCGUCAUUAUUACAUUUUAAACAACAUCAAUAUUAAAAUAAAAUACAAACUAUCAGAGACAACUCAAAAGUUUUA